rnacentral:rRNA from 1 species
AGGACGAACGCUGGCGGCGUGCUUAACACAUGCAAGUCAAGGGGGCCCAGCAAUGGGCAACCGGCGAACGGGUGCGUAACACGUGAGCAACCUACCGAAAUGUGGGGGAUAGCCGGCCUAACGGCCGAGUAAUACCGCAUACGCUCUCGAUGAGGCAUUUCAUUGAGAGGAAACCUACGGGACAUUUCGAGGGGCUCGCGGCCUAUCAGCUAGUUGGCGAGGUAACGGCUCACCAAGGCAACGACGGGUAGCUGGUCUGAGAGGAUGGCCAGCCACAUUGGGACUGAGAUACGGCCCAGACUCCUACGGGAGGCAGCAGUGGGAAUCUGCGCAAUGGCCUAAGGCUGACGCAGCGACGCCGCGUGUAGGAUGAAGCUCGUUCGGAGUGUAAACUACGUGGUUCGACCCGGGAGAAUAGCUCGAUUAAUCGAAGCCUUGACGGUACCGGUGAGGAACGCGACCGGCUAACCUCCGCGCCGAAGCCAGGCCCGAGGUAACUC